GAUGAACGCUGGCGGCGUGCCUAAUACAUGCAAGUCGAGCGAACGGACGAGAAGCUUGCUUCUCUGAUGUUAGCGGCGGACGGGUGAGUAACACGUGGAUAACCUACCUAUAAGACUGGGAUAACUUCGGGAAACCGUAGCUAAUACCGGAUAAUAUUUUGAACCGCAUGGUUCAAAAGUGAAGACGGUCUUGCUGUCACUUAUAGAUGGAUCCGCGCUGCAUUAGCUAGUUGGUAAGGUAACGGCUUACCAAGGCAACGAUGCAUAGCCGACCUGAGAGGGUGAUCGGCCACACUGGAACUGAGACACGGUCCAGACUCCUACGGGAGGCAGCAGUAGGGAAUCUUCCGCAAUGGGCGAAAGCCUGACGGAGCAACGCCGCGUGAGUGAUGAAGGUCUUCGGAUCGUAAAACUCUGUUAUUAGGGAAGAACAUAUGUGUAAGUAACUGUGCACAUCUUGACGGUUCCUAAUCAGAAAGCCACGGCUAACUACGUG
rnacentral:rRNA from 1 species